ACCCAACGUCCCCAGCCCGUCACCACCGCCACCACGGGAGCGAGGGAGUUGGCUGGCCCAUGGUAGCAGCUCAGCACACAUUUGUGGAAUAAAUGAACCAAUGAAUGAACUUGAAAAGCUACUUUCACCGCAGAGUAUUCCCCUUCGGGCUUCUCUCACAUGGAAAUAUAUGAACAUAGGUAUAAGCACAGUAUACAGAUUUUGCAUUAUGAUUUCUAAUCAUACCAUAGAGACUUUACAUAUUUCUAAGUAUUUUCAUAAUUAUAACCAUUUUUACUUAAGUGACCUUCGAUUUUUCGUGCUUGUUAUAACAAGUCAUACAGAGUUGUGUAAAUAAAAAUUUGUCUCCUGUCCCCCUCUCAUCCCACCCUGCUGAAAGGAACCACUUUUAAACUAGUGGAUAUCUUUCCAAAUAUUUUUUAUACACACGCACACACACACAGGCACACACACACACACAUACAUAACAGGUACAAAUUUCACAGUCCAAAGACAGAUAUUCCUGAAUUGUAACUUUAUUUUCUAUAAUUCGAGUCAAUUUGUAUUUUAGGUCUUUCCUCCCAUAGUAGAAAAAUGAAAUCUAGUUUAUUUAAGGUAAAUGUUAGUAUGUAAUGAUGUUUAUUUAUUAAUGAGCAAUUACAAUUUAAUUUCAGUUGCUUCAGAAUUUACUAAUGCCCUUCUCUCCUUUUCACCAUAUAAUUGCCGGUUUUAAAAAAUUAUUAAAAAAUAUGCAAUAAUUACAGGAAAAUAUAAAUGAUAAAAUAAAAAAGCAAAAACCACCUGUAAAACCAGCAGCUAGAAAUAAGUUUAUGAAAAAUAUACUUCUAUGGCAUUUUUAAUGACCAAGUGGCAUACUAUUAUACAAAUGUACCAUAAUUAUCUCCCCUAUUUUUGUACAUUUGGGUUGUUUUCAACUUUUCACUUUUGCAAAAUUACUUGUAGCUAAAUCUGUGUGCACGUCAUUUUUUUUUUUUUUAGGAUAAAGUCUGGGAACUCGUGUCGAAAGGUGUGCUCAUUGUUGAAGGCGUUUGUUUGAUAUGAAAGAUACACAGAAAGAUGGCACAGCUUUGACACCAACUUUUCUCCACACCCUGCACUGUCACACCAUUUUUUGUCAUCUUUGUUAAUAUGAUAGAACGAUGGUUUUGCAUUGUUGUUUUAAGUUUUAUUCCACUAAUUGCUAGUAAUGUUGAACCUGUUUUUAUGCAUCACUUUUGCAGAUUGCCUACAGCAUAUCUUUUGCCCACUUGGAUUCAUCUUUGUCUUAUUCAUUUGCAAGAACUCUUUAUAGAAUAUCAGCCCUUUGUUACCUAUGUUACAGCAAUUUUCCCAGUUUGUCAUUUGCUUUUUAAGUCUGUUUAUGUGCUCUUUUGACAUUGCAGUAGUCACCGCUAGCUGGGCCAAAAGUCUGGUCUUGCUGUACAUACUGCCUUCAGAAUAAACACUUAGGAGUAAGCUAGAGAUUUUUGUUAUCAGUUACUCCACCUAGAGGACCAGCAGGUGGAGUCUCCAUGGGCAGAGUCUCGCGGACUGUCAUUUGGUGUGGGGUGGCCAAGAGGGACUGAACAUCUGGAGAACAUGGUUGUCGGGCUCUUUAUACCAGUGGACCCCUCUUUCCUAUGGAAGCCUCGCAUCUCCAUCAGAAGCAGCAGUAAAAUGGCCUCUGCUGUCUUCUGCCUUUCAAGUCUAACUCAAGGGCACCUGAGUAGGUGAACCUAAUUGCAAGGGAGUUAGAUAUGUAACCUAUUCAACUAGAAAGAAGGUAGCCAGAGGGGCUACCUACAGUCCCCACCAAACUUAUGUAUCAGGGCUUCCCAUCCUGGCUGUUGAAUUACCUAUUCUGGCAGCUGUUCCAGUCAAUACAGCUGAUAGUAAAUUUUAAUAACUGGCAGUAAAAGUCUUCCCCAGUAACCCUGAUUUUCAAUGUUUUGUUGGCCAUUUUCACACAUUUUUUCAGGUGUAUAUUUUUUCACACUAUUUGUUCAGAUGAUCAUUGUAAUUCAUUUCAGAAACUAGAUAUCUCUUGUAAUUUCCUGGGCUUCUCCUUACCCUGGCGAGUAUUCUUUGUACCGAUUUUAGUCUGAAGUCUGGUAGGUACAAAAGUUAGUUUGUGUAUUUGCUAUUUGUUAGGUGCCCUUCAUCCUGGUAUUUAAAAUUCUGGCCCAUAAAGAAACAACCACACUCACUUGUUCCCUCAAUCUUAUUGUGCCUCUUGGCAGCUUCUGACAUUGUCAACCGCUCCCUUCUUCUGACACACUUCUCUUGACUCCCACGCCAGCACGCUCUCUGGGGUUCCCCCUCCUCUGGCUGCUCCUCCUCAGCAUCCUAGCAGGCUUCUCCCUUUUCUCUCUUUACCCACCACUUGCUGUACAAAUGCGGAGUUCCCUAGGGCUCUUUCCUGGGCCCUUGUGUCUUCUCAUUUUACACUUUCUUUCGAGAUGAUCCCACAGAAGUCACAUGGCUUCCAGUAUCCACUCCAUGUCAAAGAUACUUAGUCUGUUUCUAUUGCUUAUGACAGAAUAUCUGAAACUGGGGUCGGGUGCAGUGGCUCACGCUUGUAAUCUCAGCACUUUGGGAGGCUGAGGCGGGUGGGUCAUGAGGUCAGGAGUUGAAGACCAACCUGACCAAGAUGGUGAAACCCCAUCCCUACUAAAAAUAUAAAAAUUAGCCAGGCGUGGUGGCAGGUGCCUGUAAUCCCAGCUACCCCAGAGGCUGAGGCAGG
rnacentral:lncRNA from 1 species